CCUACAGGGGGCAGCAGUGGGGAAUAUUGGACAAUGGGGGCAACCCUGAUCCAGCCAUGCCGCGUGUGUGAAGAAGGCCCUCGGGUUGUAAAGCACUUUCAGUGAGGAAGAACGCCUGGUGGUUAAUACCCAUCAGGAAAGACAUCACUCACAGAAGAAGCACCGGCUAACUCCGUGCCAGCAGCCGCGGUAAUACGGAGGGUGCGAGCGUUAAUCGGAAUUACUGGGCGUAAAGCGCGCGUAGGUGGCUUGAUAAGCCGGUUGUGAAAGCCCCGGGCUCAACCUGGGAACGGCAUCCGGAACUGUCAAGCUAGAGUGCAGGAGAGGAAGGUAGAAUUCCCGGUGUAGCGGUGAAAUGCGUAGAGAUCGGGAGGAAUACCAGUGGCGAAGGCGGCCUUCUGGACUGACACUGACACUGAGGUGCGAAAGCGUGGGUAGCAAACAGGAUUAGAUACCCUUGUAGUC
rnacentral:rRNA from 1 species